AGCUUUGCACAGUGGCAGUAUCGUAGCCAAUGAGGUUUAUCCAAGGCACGAUUAUUGCUAAUUGAAAACUUAAAAGAUUAUUUCGGAUAGUCUAGGUCCCUUGCCUUUUCAUGUACAUUUUUGAAUCAGCUAAACGUUUCCUAAUUUUGCUGAUCUUUUCAAUGA
rnacentral:snRNA from 1 species